rnacentral:rRNA from 1 species
AACGAACGCUGGCGGCAGGCUUAACACAUGCAAGUCGAACGCUCGUAGCAAUACGGGAGUGGCGGACGGGUGAGUAACGCGUGGGAACGUGCCCUGAGGUACGGAAUAACUGAGGGAAACUUCAGCUAAUACCGUAUGAGCCCCGAGAGGGGAAAGAUUUAUCGCCUUGGGAGCGGCCCGCGUCGGAUUAGCUAGUUGGUGGGGUAACGGCCUACCAAGGCUUCGAUCCGUAGCUGGUCUGAGAGGACGAUCAGCCACACUGGGACUGAGACACGGCCCAGACUCCUACGGGAGGCAGCAGUGGGGAAUCUUGCGCAAUGGGGGCAACCCUGACGCAGCCAUGCCGCGUGAACGAUGAAGGCCUUAGGGUUGUAAAGUUCUUUUACCCGUGACGAUGAUGAC